rnacentral:rRNA from 1 species
AUUGAACGCUGGCGGCAUGCCUUACACAUGCAAGUCGAACGGCAGCACGGGUGCUUGCACCUGGUGGCGAGUGGCGAACGGGUGAGUAAUACAUCGGAACAUGUCCUGUAGUGGGGGAUAGCCCGGCGAAAGCCGGAUUAAUACCGCAUACGAUCUACGGAUGAAAGCGGGGGACCUUCGGGCCUCGCGCUAUAGGGUUGGCCGAUGGCUGAUUAGCUAGUUGGUGGGGUAAAGGCCUACCAAGGCGACGAUCAGUAGCUGGUCUGAGAGGACGAACAGCCACACUGGGACUGAGACACGGCCCAGACUCCUACGGGAGGCAGCAGUGGGGAAUUUUGGACAAUGGGCGAAAGCCUGAUCCAGCAAUGCCGCGUGUGUGAAGAAGGCCUUCGGGUUGUAAAGCACUUUUGUCCGGAAAGAAAUCCUUGGCUCUAAUACAGUCGGGGGAUGACGGUACCGGAAGAAUAAGCACCGGCUAACUACGUG